ACGGAUGCACAUAUCUAUCUGAACCCACAUGAACGUGAGCUUCAUAAUGUUCUGAGUUCAAAACAUUUUCAAUUAAUAUGACUCUUUUGUUAUCACAUUCUCAAGGUUUGCUGCCGCACAGGUGAUCACAUAAAAGAAGAAGAAGAAGAAAAUAUGAUAAAGCAGCAGCAGUUUAAUCAUGUAGCUUCCAUAACUCCACGA
rnacentral:lncRNA from 1 species